rnacentral:rRNA from 1 species
UACGUAGGUGGCAAGCGUUGUCCGGAUUUACUGGGCGUAAAGAGCGCGCAGGCGGUCGUUCAAGUCGCGUGUGAAAGCCCCCGGCUCAACUGGGGAGGGUCACGCGAUACUGAUCGACUCGAAGGCAGGAGAGGGUAGUGGAAUUCCCGGUGUAGUGGUGAAAUGCGUAGAUAUCGGGAGGAACACCAGCGGCGAAGGCGGGUAGCUGGGCCAACACUGACGCUGAUGCGCGAAAGCUAGGGGAGCAAACGGG